UGUCGUCAGCUCGUGUCGUGAGAUGUUGGGUUAAGUCCCGCAACGAGCGCAACCCUCGCCCUUAGUUGCCAGCAUUAGUUGGGCACUCUAAGGGGACUGCCGGUGAUAAGCCGAGAGGAAGGUGGGGAUGACGUCAAGUCCUCAUGGCCCUUACGGGCUGGGCUACACACGUGCUACAAUGGUGGUGACAGUGGGCAGCGAGCACGCGAGUGUGAGCUAAUCUCCAAAAGCCAUCUCAGUUCGGAUUGCACUCUGCAACUCGAGUGCAUGAAGUUGGAAUCGCUAGUAAUCGCGGAUCAGCAUGCCGCGGUGAAUACGUUCCCGGGCCUU
rnacentral:rRNA from 1 species